rnacentral:rRNA from 1 species
GAUGAACGCUGGCGGCGUGCCUAAUACAUGCAAGUCGAGCGAACAGACGAGGAUCUUGCUCCUCUGACGUUAGCGGCGGACGGGUGAGUAACACGUGGAUAACCUACCUAUAAGACUGGGAUAACUUCGGGAAACCGGAUCUAAUACCGGAUAAUAUAUUGAACCGCAUGGUUCAAUAGUGAAAGACGGUUUUGCUGUCACUUAUAGAUGGAUCCGCGCCGCAUUAGCUAGUUGGUAAGGUAACGGCUUACCAAGGCAACGAUGCGUAGCCGACCUGAGAGGGUGAUCGGCCACACUGGAACUGAGACACGGUCCAGACUCCUACGGGAGGCAGCAGUAGGGAAUCUUACGCAAUGGGCGAAAGCCUGACGGAGCAACGCCGCGUGAGUGAUGAAGGUCUUCGGAUCGUAAAACUCUGUUAUUAGGGAAGAACAAAUGUGUAAGUAACUAUGCACGUCUUGACGGUACCUAAUCAGAAAGCCACGGCUAACUACGUG